rfam:Beta vulgaris subsp. vulgaris chromosome 5, whole genome shotgun sequence.
AGAUUAUGGUGUGGGAAUUCUCUCUGCAGAUCCUUGAACCUAUUACAUGCUUCCUUCAACGUCUCAUCAGGUUCUUGUUGCAAGGUAGCAGGCUUAUGUCUAAUUU